UACGUAGGGUGCGAGCGUUGUCCGGAAUUAUUGGGCGUAAAGAGCUCGUAGGCGGUGUGUCACGUCGGCCGUGAAAACCUGCAGCUUAACUGUGGGCGUGCGGUCGAUACGGGCAUCACUGGAGUUCGGCAGGGGAGACUGGAAUUCCUGGUGUAGCGGUGAAAUGCGCAGAUAUCAGGAGGAACACCGGUGGCGAAGGCGGGUCUCUGGGCCGAUACCGACGCUGAGGAGCGAAAGCGUGGGGAGCAAACAGG
rnacentral:rRNA from 1 species